CUGGCUGCUGUGUAGAGGAUGGAUUGAGGAAGGGACCAGAAGGGCAGAGCAAGGGGGAAGAGAAGGCCGAGCUGAGCUUGAGAGUGGAAGGGAGCCUGACUGGGAGACGGUGCACACGGACCUCUGUAUCUUUCCCUGAGCCAGUCCCUGUUUUAAGCCCUUCACUGUCAGUCGCCGCAGCAGUCGUAUGAGGUGUCUACCCUCACCCCCGUUUUGCAGAAGAUACACUCAGAGGGGAAGUCAUUUGCGGGUUUUGCCCGCCAGGUGGCGCGCUUGUGCCCCGCGGUUCGCUCCGUUGACCCUGUAACGGGGCGGGACCUGCCCUCGGUGGGCGCGCGCCGCCCCUCCCGCUCUGUUCCCGGCUGUGUAGUACUCCACGCCGGCCGUCGUUCGCUCGGCCGGUCCCCGGUGGAACUGACCCCUUGCGUGGCUCCUAACUCCCCAGCGGCCGCCCCUCCGGGAGGUGGGGAGUCACGGAGGUGGACGGCGUUGCAGUUCUGCAUUGCGCGGCUCCGGCGGCCCUAGAGCCUGGAGGUCGCGCCCCUCUUCCAGACGCGGAAGCUGAGGGCCGGCGCCGGGGCCCGGCUGGGAGGGGGCCUCGGCGGCCCGCCGGGCGGGGGCGGGGCCGCGGGGGGCGGGGCCCUCAGCCUCCGCGCCGGCGCCGAUGGGCGGGCGCCCCCCCCCCGCCCGUCCCCCCAAGUCCGCGACGGCGGCGGCGGCGUCCAGAGCCCGGAGCCCGGAGCCGCGCCCGAGUCGGAGCCGAGCGGGUGGCGGCGCCAUGGCGUGCGCGGGGCUGCUGACCGUGUGCCUGAUCCGGCCGCCCGCGCCCGAGCCCCCGCGACCCCCCGCGCCCGCCGCCGGGCCCGCAGGACACGCGCUCUUCCAGGACAUGAUGGUAAGCUCUCAUUUGAAGAAUUCCAGAAUUACUUUGCCGAUGGGGUUCUCAGCCCCAGGGAGCUGCGAGAGCUGUUCAGCGGCAUUGAUGGGCAUCCCGCUGACAAUUUGGAAACAGAGAAGCUGUGUGGUGAGUAGGCCCAUGGGAGCUCUUGUCUUCCGGGACCUCUGGGCAGACUACUUCUCCGAACACCUGGGCGUCUACCGGCCUGUGCUGGCUGCACUGGAGUCGCUGAACUGUGCAGUGCUCGCUGCCAUGGACACCACUAAGCUGGAGUAUGAGCGGGCCUCCAAGGUGGACCAGUUUGUGACACGCUUCCUAUUGCGGGAGACGGUGAGCCAGCUCCAAGCCCUGCAGAGCUCGCUGGAGGGGGCGUCAGAUACCCUGGAGGCCCAGGCCCAUGGCCCAUGGUCAGAUGAAGAGAGGGUGGAGGUGCAGAGCAGGCCCCGCGGCAGCCGGCGGGCAGGGCGCCGGGCCCUGCGGAGCGUCGGUCGGUCACCUACCUGGUCUCCUGGCUUCUCUGACACAGGGCGGAGCUCAGAGGCCGAGAUGCAGUGGCGGCUCCAGAUCAACCGUCUCCAGGAGCUCAUCGACCAGCUCGAGUGCAAGGUGAGUAGUCGUGUGGCCAGUGCCCUGUGCCGGUGGACUUUUCUGGAAUCCACCCAAGCCAGGCACAUGCCGGGGACCUGGCCCAUGCUCUGCGUCCAUCACAGGCCCCCCGGCUGGAACCCCUGCAUGAAGAGGAGUUUACCAAGGGUCCCAACUCGCACAUCCUUGUGGCCCAAAGGCAGGUGCAGGUGGCAGAGGAAGCCCUGCAGGACUUCCACCAUGCCCUGUGCUGCUACGUGGACUUCACAGGGGCCCAGAGCCAUUGCCUGCAUGUGUCUGCCCAGAAGAUGCUGGACAAUGCCUCCUUCACCCUGUAUGAGUUCUGGCAGGAUGAGGCCUCCUGGAGAAGGUAUGAGCUGUGGUCUAACAGCUAAUGUUUAUUGUGUAUGGGCCCUGGUGUGAGUCUGGAGGUUCAAGCCUGGGUUCAAAUCAUCCUCUCCUAUUUACUGGCUGUGUGACCUCAGGAGAGUUACCUAACCCUUCUGAGCCCCAGUGGCCUCCUUUUCGAAAUGAGAGUGAUAAUAAUUCCAUCCUCUUAUCACCUAAAUGAGACGACAUGUAAAGAACUGAACACAGUGCCAGGUACAAGGUAGGUGCUUGUUGAAUACUUACUGUUACCACUGUGCCACACCCUGUGCCACGUGCCUUGUGUGUCACUUCAUGUAAUUCUCACAGUAUCCCAGUGAAGUGGAUACUAUUGUCCCCAUUUCACAGAGGAAGAAACUGAGGCUCAGAGCCACUAUAAGGAAGGACUGAGAUCUGAAACCAGGCAGCAGGACUCGGUGGGAGUGGGGAGCUUUUAACCAUGUGGUCCUGAUCUUUGGGGACCAGCUGCAGCCUCAGUCCACUGUGCGGCCCUCCCCAGGCACCAGCAGUCUGCCUGCAGUAAGGCCUUCCAGCGCAUCCUCAUCGACCACCUGCGGGCUCCAGACACCCUCACCACCGUGUUCUUCCCAGCCUCCUGGUGGAUUAUGAAUAAUAACUGAGCCUGACCUGCAUAAGCCAAGGAGCCCUGCCUGCCUCCUUCUGGAGCUUCUGGACUGGUCAACUCAGCUCAUGACCAAGGAUGCUGCCACAUCUAUACCUGGGGCCUGGCUCUCAGAGGCCCCCCGAGCCAACUGGCAGAGAAUCGCUUAGCCCAGGGAUCGGAGACUGGGCUGCUUGCUUUCUGUUUCUUUCUUUAACAGUGUAUUUUAUUGCUUAUAGCUUCGGCCUCUGAGGCACUCUGGCAUCUGUCUGGCUCAGGAGGCCUGGAUUCUGGUCCCCUGUGCCCUUGCCUUGCUGUGUGACCCAGGGCAGGUCCCUUCUCUCUCUGAGUGGGCCAUGGCUGUCUGGCUAUUGGGUACCUGCGUUCUUCUUGCUGUCUUGGGGCCAGGCUUCUGCUCUUCCCCAAGCCAGCAGCAGAACCAGGGCUGAUGCUCAGGGACUGUCCCCACCUCCCCACCUCGACCCCUGAGGCUGGAUCAGUCUGUAGUGUGGGCAAAGGUCCUGGGCGUCCCCAUCACCCUCCUGGGCCGGCAGGCUCCUGACUCUUCCAGCACCUGCGGCUGCACUAGGAGCCCUCUGGAGGAUCCUGGGUUGGUUUGCAUGUCAUUUGCAUAUCAUUUGCAUGCUCAUGCCUACCCAUACUCAGGGCACUAUGGGAAGCCCCAAGGUGAGCUUGCUAAGUAGCAAUAAUUUGGGCCCAGAGUCACUUACUGCCCCCAGAUACCUCUGAACCCCAGCCCAGGACCCCAGCCCAGAGGCAAUAAAGGCAGUGGUCACCUCUGG